GGCUCGGCUGAUUCUGUUUUCGUGCUCAGGUUGAGCGCGGGGCCGGGCCGGGCCGGGCCGGGUGUCUCAGCGCUGCUGGCCCGCUCGGGCCGGGUCAGCCUGUGGAGCCGGGCGAGCUCCGGGGAGCACGGGGCACCGGUUAGUGCCGUCACCCGGGUGAAAGCGGCACCCGCCCCGCUUAGGAGCCCCUGCAGAGCUCUUCUUCUGGUCUGGGAAAUGAGAGUCUCAGCUCAAUACGAGGUGGAACAGAUUGUUUAGCAUAAGCAGAUAAUACCUAUUUCACAGGACCAGUGUGACACACUGUACCUCAAAGUAGCACUCUGGACCCACCGUAUUGACCAUGGUGAUAUGAUUAUGAUAUUUUUUGUACAAAGCAUACCUUGUGAGGUAUCAUUUUAAAAGUCUUGAUCUGUUGAACAUUAAUACCCUGUUGGAUUGUAUGUACCAUCAUUGUAUGUGAAGUUAUGAAGUAUUUAUAUGUGUUUUGAAAUAUGUUGUGAACACCCACAACCAGUCUUUCAGUUACAACAAAGGAGUAGCCAGACAGCAUUAAUGGCUCAUCAGCACCCAUCAAGAAAAGAAUCCAUUAUCUCAGAGACUCCUUAGAGAAGGCACAUAUGCAGUGGAGACUGCUUGACCAGUGAGGACUUCCUGAUCCCCUAAGAAAGAAUAAAAGAAUGGAUGUGACAUAAUCACUUAGCCUCUCUCUUUCUCUCUCCCCACCCCUCCAGCACUCUCCCCAUCCCUCUAACUCAACACCAUAGAAGAAUGUCUGGAGGACAAAGACUUUGAACUGGGGAAGUUUGGUUGCAGGCUGGAAGGUAGUCCCAGUCUGUGUAUUAAAGAACUGUAACCUGCUUGUACUAUGUUUCAGGGUGAGACAUUGUUUGAUUCAACUGUUGCUUAGACUACAUUUUAGGAUUUAGAAUGUAUUUACACUUUUCAUUUCAACUAUCUCUGACCUUUAUGUCUACCACUUAUAAUCACUUUAAAAUGUAUCUUUCUGUAGUUAAUAAAUCUGUUUUAUAUUUUUCCUAAAA